GGGCCCGCACAAGCGGCGGAGCAUGUUGCUUAAUUCGAUGAUACGCGAGGAACCUUACCAGGGCUUAAAUGUAAGUUGCAUAGACCAGAGAUGGUCUUUUCUUCGGACUACUUACAAGGUGCUGCAUGGUUGUCGUCAGCUCGUGCCGUGAGGUGUCAGGUUAAGUCCUAUAACGAGCGCAACCCCUGUCGUUAGUUGCCAGCAAGUUAAGUUGGGCACUCUAGCGAGACUGCCGGUGCAAACCGCGAGGAAGGUGGGGAUGACGUCAAAUCAUCACGGCCCUUACGUCCUGGGCUACACACGUGCUACAAUGGCCGGUACAGAGAGCAGCCACUCCGCGAGGAGGAGCGAAUCUAUAAAACCGGUCUCAGUUCGGAUCGCAGUCUGCAACUCGACUGCGUGAAGCUGGAAUCGCUAGUAAUCGCAGGU
rnacentral:rRNA from 1 species